rnacentral:misc_RNA from 1 species
UACGGAGGGGCCUAGCGUUGUUCGGAAUUACUGGGCGUAAAGCGCGCGUAGGCGGCUUCGCAAGUCAGAGGUGAAAGCCCGGGGCUCAACCCCGGAACUGCCCUUGAGACUGCGUCGCUAGAAUCCGGGAGAGGUGAGUGGAAUUCCGAGUGUAGAGGUGAAAUUCGUGGAUAUUCGGAAGAACACCAGUGGCGAAGGCGGCUCACUGGACCGGUAUUGACGCUGAGGUGCGAAAGCGUGGGGAGCAAACAGG